ACAAUGGAGAGUUUGAUCCUGGCUCAGGACGAACGCUGGCGGCGUGCUUAAUACAUGCAAGUCAACUUGACUUUAGGUAGCAAUAUCGAAAAGUAGGGUGGCGCACGGGUGCGUAACGCGUAGGUAAUCUGCCCUAAGGUCUGGCAUAACCUAUCGAAAGGUAGGCUAACAUCAGAUGAUAUAUAAUCACGACAUCGUGGAAAUAUCAAAUCUUCGGAGCCUUGGGAUGAGCCUGCGUCUGAUUAGGUAGUUGGCGGAGUAAUAGCCCACCAAGCCUACGAUCAGUAGCUGGUCUGAGAGG
rnacentral:rRNA from 1 species